GCCGCCGUCGCCUGCCAUCCUCCCCGUCCGCCGCCGCCGCCCCCAUCCUUCCCGUCCGCCGCGCCGCCACCAUCCUCCGCGUCCGCCACCGCCAUCCUCCCCGUCCGCCACCGCCGCCCCCAUCCUCCCUGUCCGCCGCCGCCAUGCCAUCGCCGCCACCUACCGGACGGCGCUGUGAAGGAAGCGACCAGAGAGGGAGGCGUCGCCGGUGUCGUGGACCCAUGCCGGCGCAACGACGUGUGCGCGUGCCUCCGCGGGUUCGCGCAGCGGUCGCCGGAGGCGUCGCGGGUCAACUGCGUCGGGGAGGAUGGGCGCGCGCCACGCCGCUAUUCCCCGACACAACGUCCGCCGUUCUUCCUUGGUCGGGCAGUGGUCAAGUGCUUCUUCAAGCUGGGCCGCACGCUGGGAGAGGAGCCCCAGGCCGCAUGCUUCUUCUUGCGCUCCAUCGGGAGAGACCUCGAGGAUGCCAAGAUCUGCAAUGGCCUGAAGAACGAGGCAAUUCUUGGAAGCAACACGUACAUGUGGUCUCUCUUUCACUAUGAUUCCAAGGUUGUUUCUCUCCAUAUUCCAUUCCUCUCACAAAAUUUUCUUUUCCUAGGCUUUUACUUUAUUAUGUGUGUGCUAUGCUACUGACAAAAUAUCUAAUUCUGGUGCUUAAUUAUCAUGUCUAAGCAUCAUGUUCUCCUCUGUUUAAUCUCAUUAUUGCUGUGUAAAGGGAAAUCAAGGAUUACUUUUCUGGGCACAUAUGCAGUGUAUUUUUGUUUUGAGUAGUAACAGUUCAGUUAGAGCUGAAAUAAAUAAUCAAAGUACAGUACAAUCGUUUAUCGUCUGUGAAUCUUCUUCUUUCCCCGUUUAUCGUCCCGCCGACGUGCUCUUGAGGCAGCUGAUCCUAACUUAGGCUGCCGCCACUUGGUGCUCAGAAUCACAACGUCUCCGUGGAGCCGCAGUGGAUAGCAUGGUCUUGUCGCCAUGCUGGGGACGCAGCGGCAGCAUAUAUCCAGUCCAGAUCCGCUGGUUUCAGAUCAACGGAUUACCCCAGUUCAUCUUCCUACUCGCUUCUUUUCUCCUAACACACACAUCCCUGCAAAUUAGACUGUUUUUUUUACAUCUCUUCAUUCCAGUGGUGCAAUUUGCCAUUUAGUACUGAUUAGUUUACACUGAUUUAUGUCAGAUCUAACCAGAUUGAAUCAUUAACCGAUGGAGGAUUUGGAUGCCCCACACACUGGUGGUGAUAUGAUAAGUGAUAAUGACUCUCCAGAAGUUUAAAUUAUUUGAUACAUGGGAUUGGUCCAGAUGAUAUUGACUGUUCCGAUAUAACACCAGAACUUUAGCUUUCUCGGGAAUGUGACGAUGGCUUCCAUGAAAAAAUUCAUCGAAGUGACUGUCGAUGACCUACAGGAGCGUAGCAGACUCGAUGUGGCAACCGGGUUGCUCCUGAAUGCGGUGAAGUAGUGCCACCUGGCCGGUGAAGUGGCCGACAGCAGGAAUUCCGCCGUCGACAUCGUCGAGAUUCGCUUCAAGGGCCUGGAAGAUGCUCAACAACCAGAUCGUCAUCUCGUCCUCUCCAAGAGAAGGGGCCAACUCAAGCAGGUACAUCUGCUCGCUACAGCUCGCUCCUCCUCCCUUCUUCUCUAUUCCAUGGUUGAUUGUGUCAAACUUGAGCUGGUAGCUACUAUUCAGAUAUGUAAGUUAGAUUUCAUGUCCUGCCUCUCGGGUAUGUGCUUAUUGUGGUUGCAGUCCUGUCGACUGAAAUGUUGUUCUUGGAUGCUAAAUUAAUUUGGUUAUCCUAUCAGCUCCAAGUUUCCAGUUUAUAAUUAUAUAUGAGACAUAGCUGCUUUGUUGUUGGUUGUUCUGGUCGAUUCUUUUGUUUUCUGAUACUCUGCUUGUUGCGAUUUGAAUGCUACCUAUAUUGAUAUACUGGUAAUUGUUUGGUUGCCUCGGUUGUGAUUCUAAGAUUUCUUAUUUACUUUGAUUAUGAUGUUUGUUGUGGUUUAUUCUGCUACAUCUUUCUAUUUCAGGACUUUGUGUUGUUGGUUGGUCUGUGUUGUUGUUUUUUAUCGUCUUCAGGCGAGCCAUGCUCUUUCCCCUGUAUUUUGGUAUCUAUAUACCUGCGUCCUUCUAAUCUUUUUCAAACUGCCAUUUCCCCCCUUCUAGGUCUGUUGGGGUAUUUUUCUUUUAUUCCUUAAUUUGUCACAUGCAUCUUUUGCUUGCGUUAGUCGUUUGUGCCUCUUUUCGAGGCUCUUACUGCCAACUGCCUUUUCGUUCAUAUGUUCGUGAGUGACACGAUGGAUCUAUGCUUGGAGGGGUGGACCAAUGUAUAUGUCGCGCAAGAGACCAACUGAUCCCAAACAUUGUUUUUCUUUACUGUUCACUAUGGCAGAUAUCGGGCAGGCAUCGUCUUCCUGUUUUGCCUGAGGUGUGCCUCAGCUGGGGCAUUUUGAAAUGUGCUAUUACUGUCGUGGUCUUUUCUUUUGCAACAUGGUAAUAUUUUUGUCAAUUUGGAGUUGUUUGGUCUGACUAUAUAUAUAUAUGUCUUUGGUAAUAUCAUGGAUUGGAACGAAAUGGCCUGCUCUGUUUAUAUGCCAGGAGGGCCUGUGUUCUACCCUACUCUUAUCAUGUUAGCUGAUUGUCCUGUCCCUCUGUUGGUAUGCUCAUGGACAAUUGUAUGUUAUCAUGUUAGCUGAUUGUCCUGCGUUGUAUUAGUAUAUACUCGAAUACAUGAUUUUUUUUCUCUUUGGCUACUGAAUUUUAUUGCUAUUCUUCUGCACACAUGUACAUGCGGCUCCGGUUCUAUUAUACUGUACAUCAGGUUCAGUAUUCACAAUUAUUUUCAUGAGUCCAAGGAUAGUUCUGUUUGGUGCCGUGUCCUGUAUGAUUAAUGGUCAUGAUUUAAUUACAAGUGAAAACAUUUGUAUCCGUUGAAACGCAAUGGUUUUCCCCCUGCAUUGUGAUAAUUAAUUUACAUUUGCAUUAUAGUAGGCUCCAAAUCCUAUUAAGUGUGAUACGAAUGGGAAUGGAAUAUUUAUGAAUAAGAAAGCUUUCUUACUCCUGUUGGAUUUUAUGUCGCAGCAAUAUCCCUGUUUUUGUUUCCCUGCAAGACUCGAGCUAUAUGUAAUAGUGCUAUAACUUUCAGCAUCUCCUAAAGUACAUCCUAAGUUGUACUCAAUCACCACUACUAUUUUAAUUUCCAUUGCAGCUUUCUGAAAUAAGUUUAUCCGUCUUGCUGAAUGUUAAAAAAACAGAAGGUAUCUUAAGUACAACCAUAGACUGCCUGCACAGUCCUUCCAAAGGAAAAAAAAAUCUGACUCGCUGUUUUGAUUGAGCAGCAUUGCUUUUCAGAUAAUAUAGGAGAGUGGAAGGUUCAUGCUCAUUUUUCUUUUUUGUAUUUUUUCUUGUUCAUACUUAUACUAUUUAUUCUUGCAAAUAUGUACUAUUGAAAUAGAAAGAUCAUCUUGUGUUGUUCAGACCCAUACACUUAUCCUGCAAUAUGUGAAGGAAUGCUUAUAUUGGCAUCUUGCUGUAGAAAAUGGUUAGCUUAGCAGCAACUAUUGUGUCUUCUAAUUAUGUCGCCUCAAAUUUGUAGAAACGCUAUUGUUGCUUUCGAAAUGCUAUUGAAUCUUAUCAAAUUUUUUGGACCUGUUAUUCAUUCAACAUUGUCAGUUAGCUCACUCGUUGGAGUAGAACUUCAAGCCGAACAGAGGUAUGCUCUCCAACUUUACUCGGGGAAGGGAACUGGGUGUUGCUAAGAGAGAUGUUUUAAAAACUUGUGUUGCUACAAGCCACUAAGGAACUCGGUCUGAGGUGGCGAGUUGGUCGCGAACUUAUGUUUUGCUUAUACUGGUCCUGUCCCUGAUAAGGGUGUGUGUAUCGAGUGUUUGCCAAUUUAGUUCUGGCAUGUUGAGUCCAUGGACAAGUAUGGAUUAUUCUCUAUAGCUUUAGCCAAUUUAGGAGACAACCGCUGUUUUCCUGCACAUUUGCAUAUACUCAACGACUCCGAUCUUACAAAAUGUUAGGUCUCCUUAGUUCCAAAUAUGGUUUUACAGGUUCUAAAAUUAUUUCUUUGAUGCGAGGUGCCAUGCUGUGGAUAACAAGGAGAUUAUCAAGGCGGAGCGGCGGUGAGUAUGGAGCUCAUAAUCAUCAGUUCAUCACCAUGAAGCAGAAGGAAUGGUAUAGCUUUGCCAUGCUGGACUUUGGCAGCCGCUGCUCCUCGGCAAUCAACAGGAGGUACAGCCGCUGCCACCACUCCUUCGCAGCGACGCAGGCCAGCGACGAGGAGGCUCGCAAUGGUGGGGGACACAUCACCAUCUUCCAGAGAGGAGAAAGGCAUACCUACCCCUUAACGAUUGAAAUGCAGGUCCAGGGAAAACAUCUGUACUACUAUUGGGCCAAUUGAUGCUAGGUGUACAUUGAGAUGUUUUAGAAAAAUAGAUCCUUGAUGCCGGACAUAGUGCAAUGGUGAGAUCCACUUAUUUAUGAUGGCGAGGAUGAUUGUUAGGCUGGCAUGUGGAGCUGUACUAAUAAGCUAUGAGAAGGUCCUCACAUCACAACACCCGGGCAAGUCUGGCAAGGCUUGCUCGCCAUGGCCUACCACAUCGGCGAGACGGAUCGAGCACGUGAUCACCAUCAGCAGGUCUUUCGUCACAACACCCGAGCUAGCGAGAUGUUCAGACAAAGUUAUAUGAUACACUGCUAUUGACAUAUGUCGUAGAUGGACAGUACAUAUCGUUUCUCUCCAUGUUACAAUUUCUGUGACCUCGGCAUUUGGAAGACAUGUCAUCCGAAUCGUCUAUCAUGACCGAACCAUUACUAUCACAAGCAUCUUACUUUUAGAAAUCCAUAUGAUGGUUCAGUUAUCUAUAUUAUGUGUGCCAUUUGUUACCUCUGAAAUAUAUAUUAUGUGUGCCCUGUCA